UAGAGUUUGAUCAUGGCUCAGAUUGAACGCUGGCGGCAGGCCUAACACAUGCAAGUCGAGCGGUAGAGAGAAGCUUGCUUCUCUUGAGAGCGGCGGACGGGUGAGUAAUGCCUAGGAAUCUGCCUGGUAGUGGGGGAUAACGUUCGGAAACGAACGCUAAUACCGCAUACGUCCUACGGGAGAAAGCAGGGGACCUUCGGGCCUUGCGCUAUCAGAUGAGCCUAGGUCGGAUUAGCUAGUUGGUGAGGUAAUGGCUCACCAAGGCGACGAUCCGUAACUGGUCUGAGAGGAUGAUCAGUCACACUGGAACUGAGACACGGUCCAGACUCCUACGGGAGGCAGCAGUGGGGAAUUUUGGACAAUGGGCGAAAGCCUGAUCCAGCAAUGCCGCGUGCAGGAUGAAGGCCCUCGGGUUGUAAACUGCUUUUGUACGGAACGAAAAGCCUGGGGCUAAUAUCCCCGGGUCAUGACGGUACCGUAAGAAUAAGCACCGGCUAACUACGUGCCAGCAGCCGCGGUAAU
rnacentral:rRNA from 1 species